AGCAGCAUGGCUCAGUGGAAAGAGCACGGGCUUGGGAGUCAGAGGUCAUGGGUUUGAAUCCCAACUCUGCCA
rnacentral:tRNA from 1 species